rnacentral:rRNA from 1 species
UACGUAGGCAGCGAGCGUUGUUCGGAAUUACUGGGCGUAAAGAGUGUGUAGGCGGUGCUCUAAGUUUGGUGUGAAAUCUCCCGGCUCAACUGGGAGGGUGCGCCGAAAACUGGAAUGCUUGAACAUGGGGAGAGGAAAGCGGAAUUCCUGGUGUAGCGGUGAAAUGCGUAGAUAUCAGGAGGAACACCUGCGGUGUAGACGGCUUUCUGGACCAUUGUUGACGCUGAGACACGAAAGCGUGGGUAGCAAACAGG